rnacentral:rRNA from 1 species
UACGAAGGGGGCUAGCGUUGUUCGGAAUUACUGGGCGUAAAGCGUGCGCAGGCGGUGAUGUAAGACAGAUGUGAAAUCCCCGGGCUCAACCUGGGAACUGCAUUUGUGACUGCAUCGCUGGAGUGCGGCAGAGGGGGAUGGAAUUCCGCGUGUAGCAGUGAAAUGCGUAGAGAUGUGGAGGAACACCGAUGGCGAAGGCAGCCCCCUGGGCUAACACUGACGCUCAUGCACGAAAGCGUGGGGAGCAAACAGG